CCUACGGGUGGCUGCAGUGAGGAAUAUUGGUCAAUGGCCGCAAGCCUGAACCAGCCAAGCCGCGUGAGGGAAGACGGCCCUAAGCAUCGCAAACCUCUUUUGUCGGGGAACAAAAGACCCCACGCGUCGCGUUCCGAGAGUACCCGAAGAAAAAGCAUCGGCUAACUCCGUGCCAGCAGCCGCGGUAAUACGGAGGAUGCGAGCGUUAUCCGGAUUCAUUGUGUUUAAAGGGUGCGCAGGCGGGAGAUCAAGUCAGCGGUAAAAUUGAGGGGCUCAACCUCUCCGAGCCGUUGGAACUGGGGUCCUUGAGUGAGCGAGAGGUAUGCGGAAUGCGUGGUGUAGCGGUGAAAUGCAUAGAUAUCACGCAGAACUCCGAUUGCGAAGGCAGCGUGCCGGGGCGCAACUGACGCUGAGGCACGAAAGUGUGGGUAUCGAACAGGAUUAGAUACCCUGGUAGUC
rnacentral:rRNA from 1 species